rnacentral:pre_miRNA from 1 species
AAUAAGGGUACGAUAAAUCAAAAUUUUCCUCCUGAUUUUUAGAUUUUUCUUCCUAAAAAAAUUCAAAUCCAACUUAAAAUACUAAAAAUCAAGAGAAAAUAUUUGAUUUGUCAUGCUUCUAUU